ACACCAUGACCUGUCUUUUUAAUAUUUAUAUUUAGAACUUACCUAAAGUAAGUUCUGGCGACGGCGGUAUAUAAACUUUUAUAAUUAGUAGUAUUAUCUUGGUGGUUAUCAUUUAACAGGUAAAUUCCCCUAAAAUUUAAAAUUGCCGCCAUAUUCUUUAAGUUUUAAUCCUUUGAUUUUAAUACUUAAGAGGUUUAUUUAGAUUUAAAAUAGUAGGGUAUCUAAUCCUAGUUUUAAAGUUAAAUUUUGAAUUUUGUAAAUUAAUAUUAAAAUUGAAACUAUUAUAUAUUUUACUACAAUAAAAGUUUUUACUUAAUUAAAUCUUCUUAAUAAUUAUUAAAUCUAAUUUAGUAUGACCGCGGCUGCUGGCACUAAAUACGCCUUAGAUUAUUAAUAUCUAAAUUAAUAUUUCUAUUAUUGUUUAAAGUUGUUGGCUGGGAUAUCUAUUAUUAAAUUCCAUUACAAAUAAAUAAUUGUUUAAUUUUUCUAUUAGAAUAAAGUA
rnacentral:rRNA from 1 species